rnacentral:tRNA from 1 species
AUAAAGAUAGGUUAAGAAAACCACUGGCUUGUGGAUUCAGAGAUGUAUUUAAUACUCUUUUUC